rnacentral:lncRNA from 1 species
GUCGGAUUUCCACUCAACGUCGCAGUCGAUGACACAGUGGCACACUGUCGCAUCUCGUUACGUGUAUUUAAAUCGACGUACUCGGUCCACGAAGAGUACAGGCACUCGAGCUAUUCCGCGUGUAUAUCAUUUCGGAUCAAUCAUUCGCAAUAAAACCAAGAGCGAAGGUACCUGCAGCCAUAACUUCGGAUUUACGGGAGAUAUCUCAAGUAGGAUAACGUAUAAACGGAGGAAAAAUGCAGAUCCACAGGACUCGAUCGUCGAGGUCAGAUCGUUACACCGAAUCGAUACGUUUGGGUAAACGAUCUCUGGCGGCAUCGUUAAAAAGUUUCACUUUCGCAAUUCCGGAUCGAGUCGAUGGUCUGCUACAAUGCGGAGAAAAUACGUGCCAGGCACUCCUCAGGGCGCCAGGGUAGCCGGAGAAAGAUGAGGAAUUAAUGAACCGUGACAGCUUGCAAAACCUUCGAGCAUGUGAUCUCGCCUGCCACUACCGAGAUGCGAACGUGCAAGACGUACCUUCCAUUUCAGAAAAGUAUCCCGCAAUUGCAUUUUCGAGUCUGCCAGAGGAACGAGGCACACAGUCCGUCAGGAUGCAAACAAAGUGCAUCGAUUUCAUUCAACGACCUCUCUCGUUGUGGAACAAGAUCCCCGGUUUUUGACCAUGAUCUUCGGUCGCUUUCGUAAGCCGCUUUUUUUGACCCGGUGAUUUCUCCGAAGUUUUGCGAGCCGAUUCGGUUUCGCUCUCUCCGAUCCAUCUUGGCCAAGGCGCGGUAUAAUUCGCGGAAAAAAAAACGAGCCUGCUGAUGAAGACCAAAGUGUAGUUUCAAGACAAAGAAACGUUUCAAGCCGUAAGGACGAGCACUUCGCGGGUCUAAUUGGAGGCGAGUUGGCUCGUAAACCUCGACGUUAUUUUCUUCAGGGAAUUUAGCGGCACAGGGAUACCGACUGACGUUCUUCACAGUGGCUGGAAGCAUCGAUGCUCGACAUAGACAUAAAAUCUAAACGGGUCGCCGGGGACAAAAAAAUAAUCGAGGAUUCAAGCAAGAAGCAGGACUCUUCGGCGGUGGUUCCGCUAGGACCUCUUUUCCAACUCUGGUCCUUUGAAAAUCCUUCGCGAACGACAACGAACCACGGCGAAAGUGCUACGAUUUAUCUCGCCUUAACUGACCUUUGAACGUAAUUAGAAUUUCUAAAUAAUGCGUGAUAAACUAGCUUACGUGGAAUAAAAGAAUAAAAUGUGGAACUCCAUUCAAAUACGAGUUAGUCGCGUAAAGAUGUCGGAUCUUUACUUUGAGAGAAGCGACACGGUAAAUGGGCGGCUAACAAUGGAAAAUGGUUGUUCCCAUACGUUAGAAUAUCCUUAUAAGUGAUAAGCUUGGCGAGCACUUCUUAGAAUCCACGUCGAAGCCGAGUCCUUAAGAGGGCACGUCGCCGACGUUAUCCAGGACCUGGGAAAAGGCCUGAGUUGCGGCAGAGGGCGAGAUUUAUGCAAACUCUCGCGUCCAGCGCGGAAAACCAUGCGUGCCAAGGAGUGAUUCGGAGCGGGGUCCCGGGUCACGUGGAGUCAUUAUCCUGCCGAAGUAACGAGGCCCAUAUAUUAUGCAAUUAAUCACCGAUUUCCUGCUACUGGUUAGUGGCCUAUCCAUCGGCCUCCUCUUUCCCUCUGUUGGUUAACCGAGAUCAGGAGAGCUCGGUGUUAAAUGGUCCAUUUCGACUGUGCUCGAGAUGGGAAGGCAAGAUCUCCUUUUAAGAGGAAAAGAUUGCUUCAUUAACGAUUCCUUGCGUACAUUGUGCACGUGAAAUUGGGUUUCCUUGCACGGAUUUCCCGAUAGUUCUUCAAGCGUGUAAUUUACCUCAAGAUUACGGAGAUCGUGACAAAUGAUUUAACAACCAUGAGAAUCUACGGAGAUCGUCGCCGAUUCAGCAGGGGAGUGUACAUGUCGUGUACAUUCGCCCGUGGCUUUACGUAUCUCGCCGAUGUGAAGCAGGCUCGUAAAUAUCAAUGCCAGUUGUAACCAACAUCUUCCAGUUGUCUUCAUCCUGAUCGGUCUGGACGUGUAGUUGCAUACUAGGCCAGCAUCCUUUCACGAGUCAUUCCCCACCCGACUCGCG